rnacentral:rRNA from 1 species
UGGCGAACGGGUGAGUAAUACAUCGGAACGUGUCCGCUCGUGGGGGACAACCAGCCGAAAGGUUGGCUAAUACCGCAUGAGUUCUACGGAAGAAAGGGGGGACCCGCAAGGGCCUCUCGCGAGCGGAGCGGCCGAUGACUGAUUAGCCGGUUGGUGAGGUAACGGCUCACCAAAGCAACGAUCAGUAGCUGGUCUGAGAGGACGACCAGCCACACUGGGACUGAGACACGGCCCAGACUCCUACGGAAGGCAGCAG